AUUGAACGCUGGCGGCAGGCCUAACACAUGCAAGUCGAGCGGUUGAAGGGAGCUUGCUCCUGGAUUCAGCGGCGGACGGGUGAGUAAUGCCUAGGAAUCUGCCUGGUAGUGGGGGAUAACGUCCGGAAACGGGCGCUAAUACCGCAUACGUCCUGAGGGAGAAAGUGGGGGAUCUUCGGACCUCACGCUAUCAGAUGUGCCUAGGUCGGAUUAGCUAGUUGGUGGGGUAAAGGCCUACCAAGGCGACGAUCCGUAACUGGUCUGAGAGGAUGAUCAGUCACACUGGAACUGAGACACGGUCCAGACUCCUACGGGAGGCAGCAGUGGGGAAUAUUGGACAAUGGGAGAAAGCCUGAUCCAGCCAAGCCGCGUGUGUGAAGAAGGUCUUCGGAUUGUAAAGCACUUUAAGUUGGGAGGAAGGGCAGUAAGUUAAUACCUUGCUGUUUUGACGUUACCAACAGAAUAAGCACCGGCUAACUUCGUG
rnacentral:rRNA from 1 species